UCCCUGGUGGCCUAGUGGUUAGGGAUUUAGCAUUGUCACUGCUGUGGCUUGGGUUCGAUUCCUGGCCCAGGAA
rnacentral:tRNA from 1 species